CGGCCGCGGUAUUUUUGACUGUGCGAAGGUAGCAUAAUCAUUUGCCUUUUAAUUGGGGGCUGGAAUGAAUGGCAAGACAGAGGCUGUGCUGUCUUUUCUUUGGUUUCUUGAAUUUAAUAUUGUUGUGAAGAAGCGACUAUUUGGUUGUAGGACGAGAAGACCCUGUCGAGCUUCACUUUAGGAGCGGUUGUUUUGAAAAGUUGUGUCACUGUAGGCUAAUUUUUUUUAUCACAUGAGAAAGUGAAGUUACUUGGAGUACGCAGAGUAGAGGGCUGUUUUUAUUGUUUGGUUGGGGCAACCGCGGAGAAUAAAAAUCCUCCGUUAUUAGUAAUAAUUUGGAAAAAUAACUAUUUUGUUGGGUAAAAGUGAUUUGAAUGAAGAUCCACUAGAAAGUAGUGAUUAAAGGAAAAAGUUACCGCAGGGAUAACAGCGUUAUUUCUUUGGAGAGUUCGUAUUGAUAAAGGAGUUUGCGACC
rnacentral:rRNA from 1 species